CAAUUUUUUGUUCUCUUCUUCUAACCCAAAUUUCCUCUUUAACUAUUCCAUCUUCUUUUCAAAAUUCUCUCUAUACAAGUACUUAUACAUCUUUCUAUUCGGUGCGAGGUGGUGCCAACAUGGUUGCGAUGCUUGUUCACCAGUGCAUAAGCCCUUUACCGGCACGGGUCGACCGGAGGAACAUGCAGAAGCCUAGACAUUAUCCCUUUAUUUCCUACGUUCUUACAAAGCCAAGAACCUGUACAGAGAUAACAUCUGAUGAGUCUAAGAAUGUUUACAAAGAUAACUGGUUUGAUCUUCUCGCCAUUAAUCAUAUCUCCAAAAGCUUUCAAGCUUCAACAGGUUCUCCCUCUCUCUCUCUCUCUAUAUAUAUGGUCUGUAUCUCUCUCUCUCAUAUACACACAGGAUUCAGAAGCAGCAAGGGGGGAUAUGAUGGCUUCGUGGAAGCUGCAACAAUGGCGACAAAGUUGUUUACUCCAACUGGGCAGCAGAGAAUUGUUAAUCAAACACUUGAUAUGGCCUUUCCUAGGCCUAUACUUAACAUGGC
rnacentral:lncRNA from 1 species